UACGGAGGGUGCAAGCGUUGUCCGGAUUUAUUGGGCUUAAAGGGUGCGUAGGCGGCCUUGUAAGUCAGUGGUGAAAGCCUCCAGCUCAACUGGAGAACUGCCAUUGAUACUGCAAGGCUUGAGUACAGACGAGGUUGGCGGAAUUGAUUGUGUAGCGGUGAAAUGCAUAGAUACAAUCAAGAACUCCGAUUGCGUAGGCAGCUAACUAGGCUGUAACUGACGCUGAGGCACGAAAGCGUGGGGAGCGAACAGG
rnacentral:rRNA from 1 species